rnacentral:rRNA from 1 species
AACGAACGCUGGCGGCAUGCCUAACACAUGCAAGUCGAACGAAACCUUCGGGUCUAGUUGCUCACUGGUGCGUAACGCGUCGGAACCUUCCCUUAGGUUCGGACUAACUCCCCUAAAGGGGUGCUCAUACCGGAUAAUCUCUUCGUACUACCGAUUUAUUGCCUGUGGCUGGGCCCGCGUUGGAUUAGCUCGUUGGUAGUGUAAGCGCAUACUCAGGCGACGAUCCGUAGCUGGUCUGAGAGGAGGAUCAGCAACACUGGGACAGGGACACGGCCCAGAUUCCUAGGGGAAGGAGCAGGGGGGAAUAGGGGACAAGGGGCGAAAGACUGAGGCAGCAAGGCCGCGUGAGUGAGGAAGGCGGUAGGGUAGGAAAGAGCGUGUACAAGGGAUGAUAAUGACAGUACCGGGAGAAUAAGCCACGGCUAACUACGUG